GCCGUGAGUCCGGGUGCCGCCGGUUACUCUUCUGAGCCCCUUCAGGAAGCACAGGGCAGGAGGUGUGUGUGCGGAGAAGCCGGGGGAGGGAGCGCAGGCAGGCCUGGCUUAGGUGCCAGCCCAGUGACAUCCAUAGAAGCCUGUAUCAGGCUGGUGAUGGAGCGUCCGGGAGCUCACGUAUGUAUAGAGCCACCGGCUUGUCUAUAUGCUGUGUAGGCACCUGUCUUGUAAGUGGCUACGGGCGUGGCUGCUCGUCGGACGUUCAGUUUCUGUAAGAUUUAUCUCUAGGGGCCUACCUUCCCAGUGCUCCAGAGCAGAACAUAAGAAGUUUAACGGAGCCGGCACUGAGCAGAUUAAAGGAGUGGAACAGCGGCUGGGCCUGAGAGGGUGGGGACUGCGGGUGCUGUGGGGUAGAGAACCACCUAUUUGUCCUGUCUCCCUGGCAGAAAGGUAUUUUGGUAAGACUGGAGUGACAAAGGUGGACCUGAAAUAUCUAGAGAGCCUGGGCAUGAUGAUCACUGAGUGAGUGGCACUCGACAGAACCUGGACAGUUUGUUGACUGACCGAGAGGGAUGCUGGCAGUUAGGAAGGUAAGGAGGAAACUCAGGAUGGGGACCAUCUGCUCCCCCAACCCCAGCGGGACAAAGACAUCAUCGGAGGUCUGCAAUGCCGACUGGAUGGCCUCGCUGCCCCCUCACCUCCACAACGUGCCCCUUUCCAAUCUGGCAAUCCCAGGCUCCCAUGAUUCAUUCAGCUACUGGGUGGAUGAAAAGUCCCCAGUGGGGCCUGACCAAACCCCAGCUAUCAAACGCCUCGCCAGGAUCUCCUUGGUGAAGAAGCUAAUGAAGAAGUGGUCUGUGACUCAGAACCUGACAUUUCGAGAACAGCUAGAAGCUGGGAUCCGCUACUUCGACCUGCGUGUGUCCUCCAAGCCGGGGGAUGCCGACCAGGAAAUCUACUUCAUUCAUGGGCUUUUUGGCAUCAAAGUCUGGGAUGGGCUGAUGGAGAUUGACUCAUUUCUUACGCAGCACCCGCAAGAGAUUGUCUUCCUGGAUUUCAACCACUUCUACGCCAUGGAUGAGGCCCAUCAUAAAUGCCUGGUUCUCCGGAUCCAGGAGGCCUUCGGAAGCAAGCUGUGCCUGGCCUGCAGUGUGGAGAGUCUGACACUGCGGAUCCUGUGGGAGAAGAAGUGCCAGGUUCUUAUUUUCUAUCACUGUCCUUUCUACAAGCAAUACCCUUUCCUGUGGCCAGGAAAGAAGAUCCCAGCACCCUGGGCAAACACCACAAGUGUGUGCAAACUAAUCCUCUUUUUGGAGACCACUCUGAGUGAGCGGGCCCCACGUGGUGCCUUUCAUGUCUCUCAAGCAAUUCUCACACCCAGAGCGAAGACCAUCGCCCGGGGCCUAGUUGGUGGCCUCAAGAACACUCUGGUUCACAGGAAUCUUCCUGCCAUCCUGGACUGGGUAAAAACUCAGAAGCCUGGAGUCAUGGGUGUCAACAUCAUCACAUCUGACUUCGUGGACCUGGUGGACUUUGCCACAACUGUCAUCGAAUUGAAUGACCUCCUACAGGAGGAUAGAGCUUUGGCUAAAUGCUGAUUUAAUUUUUAUUUAACUCAGUGUUGAAUUUGUUGCUCCAGGCUAGAGUUCUGAAGAGUUUCUGUUAUGAUGGUCCCUAGGCAAUGAUGGUGAAGAUGUUGUGUUUGAGUCAGUGAGAAGACUGAACCAGAAAGGCAUUCCGGGUCAAAAGAAUGGCUCAUUGCAGGUGCUGCCCUUCGGGGUGGCUCAACAUCAAUCUGGGGCUUUGAGGGGAUAAAGGAUCAAGCACCAGUUCUCCCUAGACAUGUCGAAUGUCACUUCUUCCCUGAGAGAGUAAGACAUUUAUCACCAAGGUAUUUCAGUCACAAGCUGUUCUUGCAUAGCUCGUGCUUUGUAACUGAUCGACUUCAUUUUUUAGGUAAACAGUGCAUACCGCCCUUGGUGUCAGAAAUGUGUUUCCCAGUUUUAAAGCAUUGAUUCCUUUCUAUUUAUUUUGGCUCCUUCUUAAAAGUGGAAGGAGCAAUGAUGAGAGUUCUUUGCAGUGUGAGGCCCAACAAGAAAUAGACAUGCAUGUUUGUUGCACGCCAGAUUUUUUAUUAUUCUGUAGCUUUUCCCAAAAUAGCUGCCAGGUAAGCACCUUCAUCAUUUUGGCAAAGUCCUCUUUGGAGUUGGAUCUUCAAGCCAGAUCUUGGAAUUGCAUCUUGUCGUUGUCUUCCUGGAACUCAGGUCUAUGCUCUGGGACACAAAGCUAAUGGAAGGAACCUUGUCGUGACACCAGGGAGGCAGACACAGGAUGCACGGGAAAGUGCAAUGGAUUUAAGGAGGAUGCUCCAAGUGGAUUUGGAGCCAUUCUGUAACUCCUUGAAAACAAGACUACCUCGGGGACAUUUAGGAUGACUCGCAUGUCAUCAAGUGAGAAAUGCCCAGUGUUGGAACAUUUUCAGUUUGUGUCUUGAUUGUUCUCCUUUCUUCAGGUUGUUUAGAGACUAAUAAUCUCCACUGCAUGAGGGCUUUGAAACUCAAGAAGGGAUUUUUAUUAUUAUUAUUUAUAAGAGGUGCCUAUCUGUGACGAGCCCUCUUAUGUUUCUAUUUAUUUAUUCACUUAUUUAUUUAUAGAUUUAGUAUCUUCAGUGCUCCUUACCUCAAGAGCACUCACAAAGGAGCUUCCUGAACUUUUCUCAGCAGGCCCGAUGCUGCCAUGGUCUUCCUCCCGCACCAGGACCAUGCCUCUCAGGACUGUGAGUGACCUCUGACUCUGCUAUAGACAUCCUGGUUCCCCCAGUCAUGUGGGGGACGGUGUUCAUGUGUGGGUCGGUGUUCAUGUGUGGGUGUGGUCCAGAUCUGAGAAGCCACGCACUGGGACAGAAAAUGAAAUAGGUCAUAAAGAACUUUCAGUUCUUGAGGAAGACCCUCUAUAAGAGAGUUGAAAAGAAAAGGAGCUAGAAAGAAAACUGGGUAUGGGAAUGCUCCUCAGAACUGUGAGAAUCCCUAAGGAAGUGUCAGCUUCUGGAUUCUUAAGGAAGAAAGAUAAACAUGGAAUCCUGGAUGGAUGUGCGCAUGUAUAAAGAUCUUUGGACCACCUCCCAGCAGCUUCCCAUUUCUAUUUUUCGAUGUUCAUAGCUGGACUUGCAUGUCACCUGCAGUGGGGGAUAGCCUAAGGGAGAUACUAAAAGCACAUGCACACUCUCAACUCUUGGUCUUCCAGCCUUUACUCUGUAAAGUAAUUUAAGCCCUGGCCUUUUGCUUCCACAAUUGAGGAGGUCACAACACAAACACUUCUGGAAAAAUCUGGUUUAACUUUUCAUUUUCUUGCAUUUGAACCACUCUCCAAAAGGGUUUCUGGGAUUUUAUUUUCAAAUUAUUUUCGAAUUAUUUAGCGCCUUCUCUAGAAAGGAAUAAGAAAGUGAGUGCCCUCACUUUCCCAAUUUUCCUUCAGUUCUGAUAUUAAACCAGUGAUAAGCUCUGAAAUCCCUGGCUUACCCUCAGGGUUUUAUUUGUUGUUAUUGUUUCAUGUUGGUCUUAUUUUUAAUUCUUGGUCAACUGCUAGGGACUAGAUGGGUUCCCCUCUUCAAAUCUUAAUUACUUGGCAAAGAGAUAAGGAGGCAAGAGGGGAAUUACUCUUCUCUGUUUUAUUUGAGCCUCAGCUUUGUCCAGGUGCUCGGUGCUAUGAGGCCAGGUGUGUGACAGACAUCUACACAGGAUGCCAGUGACACCCAAGGGCUGCUGACUGUUCAGUGAAAUGUUUACUUGAUUUUCUCCUUUAGUUUUAAAAUAUAUAGUUGCACUUGGGUUGUACCAUUUAAGUGCACCUCAGUGUUUGCAUGAUAGGUCAUUGAUCAUGACAGACAAAGCACUGAAAAUGGUACCAAGGUUGCAUGCAUGGAGUCCUGCUCUCUGUGGUGAGUGCAGAUGCUCACUCCUUCAUGCUGCUUUGGGUUGACAGUCUGGCUUGCAUUUUGAAAUUCUCUGCAGGAGUUCUGGGAGAUAGAAGGAGGAUUAUUUACAGUUCACCGUUGGUAAACACCCUGGAAUUGGCAGAAUCCCUGCCCCAAGAAAAAGUUGUUCAACAUAUUGCAAGGGAUAUGUGUGUUCUGCUCCUUGUCCUAAAGCCAAACAAAGAGAGUCAGUGAUGGGACAGGCAAAAUUGACUUCAGUUCCAUGACACAGUCUACAACUGCCAACAAUAAAAAGGGUGACUCAACUAUAUCACUUAUUCUCACAAAUUCUGGGGACCUUUCAGAUCAAACAAGGCUAUCAUCUUUGCUCAGAGUUAACCUCAAGAUCAUCUAAAAAUGUACUUGCUUGAGCCAAAGAGGGCAUUAGGAUUUGGGGCCACAGUUACACUGAAAAGUUGACUGAGUUUUCAUGUGCUCCCUGGAUCAUUUGCCACCUGGCCACAUUUCCAUGGCAUGGUGGCAAAGGGGACCAUCACGGGUUUCGGUUAGAUUAGAACAGUGUUUAAAGGCUUGAAUGUGGAGCCUAUUAGAGGUACCACUGUAGUUUCUUGGGUACAGAAGACAUUCUUAGGAUUGGAGAGGUCAAGAUAGAAUUGAUAGAAUAAUAAAUUAUUGAGGAUUAAAUUUUAAAUUAAUGGCAGAUAUAAAUGGGUCAUGCCAAAGAAAAUAUUAUAUAUUUGUUGUACUGGACUUUAGUUAUUAAAUUUAGUUAUUUUCCUUAGUGCUGAGUCCAGACCUUGAAUUCUUGAGAACAGUUAAGUCACAGUCCAAAACCAAGAUUUUAUAUAAACUCAAAGGAAAGCACAUGAUCUGAGCCCAGGUAAUGAUCAUUCUUAAGAAUCUUAGUUCUUUCAUGACCUCAUAUUCACAUCACAAAGUUUAUGUUUCUAUUCAAGAAGAUAAUGUGGUGGAGCAUUCUAGAAUUAAACACAUUUUGUGGUGUGACUGGAUUUUCUGUUUCGGUUUUUCUGAAUCUUACCAUAAGAAAAGUGCUUCCCACAGAGAUGUUAUUCCAACCCAGCUAGAAGGCUUAGUGCAAAGCUAAAGGUGGGGAAACAGAAGAGAUGAGAACUGAAAUGAAACUGCCUGUCUUCCUGGGAAGCAAAAGGGCUAUACAAAUCCAGACCAUAUGACAGAAUUAGUUCAUAUCACAGUUGAAGUUUUGUAAUGUUCUUUAUUGGCUGACUGCAGAUUUUUACUGUUAGAUUCUGGGAAACAGAACGAGCUAAAGAAUGGGGCACAGCCAUGAGACUCCCAUCCCAUGACUGAGCAAGGAAGUGAUCCUAUGCUAAAUCUGAGUUGGUUCUUUCAACUGGAAUAAAGAUGCCAUCUGCUACCUUAAUGCUGUUUUACAAAUCUUGGUUAACUAGCUCCCCAAAAUAUCAGGUCCCUAAUGAUAAGGCUAAAUGCCUUAUGUUAAGGGGCUUUGCAGUUGUAAUGUGUCCAUGUGUCGCAUGUGUGCAGAAGUGCUACUUGGGUUCAUUUCUCUAAGUAGAAGUGGUAUGGGAUGGCAGAACUUGUCCAACGGUGGCAUCUUUAGUGAUGCAUAUAACGAGAUGAGGAAGGCUGAAAAAAUCUUCCAACCGUAUGUGCGCUCCUGAGAGAUGGGCUUUCCCAAACACACUCCAAAUAGUCAUGUUAUGACACAAGCUAACGAAUAGAAAUUGAUAACAUCAGACUCCAAAUUAACAGGAAGUUUGAUUUGUAUGACACAGAACAUGGUUGUUCCUCUAAAUUCCACUAACUUCCCAGUACAGCUUGGCCCUCUGCUCAGACUGCUUCCUGAUAUUUGCCACCAUGGCUUUGUCACUUGUAAGUGUUGCCUUGAGACACACCGGAGUGAACUGGUUGGGUGACAGCUGAUUAGCUGGAAACUUUACCCUUAAUUCCAAGUGAUACUGAACAGCUUUUUACUGCCCCCAAGGGAUCCACUAUCUCUUUAUCCUCUGGAUUCCCCAACUUCUUACUAGAAAUAGUGACAAGUCACUGUAUUGCUGAAUUGGUCCUCACCCAGAGAACACAGUACACAAUGCUAUUGAUGUUACUGAAAUAGCACAAUCUUAGACACUGAAAAUACUCUAAGACAACUCUUUGUAUCCUGCAGUAGAUAUAAUGUUCUAGUCUUAGGACUUUUUAAAUUCAUUUCUAAGCCACAUAGUUUGGGUGAAAUAUUUUUCUUCUGAUUACUAGGAAUUCAAUUCCAUAGUUUAUUGAGGUAACCCUAUUAAUAGUCUGGAGACAUUUUUGAUCUCAUUCCUUCUCAUCUCCUACAUAGAAUACCACUUUCUCCUCUUGUCUCCUGGCCAUCCUGUAACAUCUGCUGAUCAUUAUUAAUCACAGGAUGCUGGCAAAACUUAUAAAAGGAACAUAUAUUCGACGAUGCCCAAACGCACUCUUAUCACAGUGGUUUUUGCUUCUCAGUCUUCUCAAAUGCAUUAUUCUGCCCCUUUCCUCACUCCCACCCAAUCACUAGAACUGUACCUGAUGGGAGCCCAGAAUUCGGGGCCAGUACUUCAUUCAAAUAGCAGGGGCUUGCUCACAAGCUUUGAGCCCAACAAGAAGCACAGCACUUUGAAAAGUCGAAUAGGCCUUUGGUAGCUUUGUACAUUUGCAGUUUUACAAGUUACUAGUUUAUAGCACUAAUAACACUUCAAUUGUGAAUCUAUAAUAUCAAUAUGAUAAAUACUAGUACAUAUUCCAGAGACAGUGGUACUUUGCUGCUAUUAUACUUAAUAAUCUACACCCCAGUUGAUAAGUAUUACAUACAGAUUGUGUAUGUAUUGUUGUAUUGUGUAUGCAUAUAUGUGUUGUGUAUAUGCCAACUUUCAUACUUAAUCUCACUGAUCAGCAGUUAGAAAAUACAGUAGUCCCCCCUUAUCAAUGGGGGAUAUGUUCUAAGACCCCUAGUGGAUGCCUGAAACCGCAGAUAGUACCAAACACUAUACAUAUUGUGUUUUUUUCCUGUACAUGCAUACCUUUUCACUUAAAGGAAGCACUUUACAGCUUCUCUUUAGCAUAUCUAAAUUGCCAGCAUUGCUACUGUUGUGCUUUUGGGUCAUUAUUAAGAAAAAUAAAGAGUUAUUUGAACACAAGCACUGGGACAUGGUGACAGUCAAUCUGAUAACCUAGAUGGCUACUAGGUGACUAAAUGGCGGGGGAGCGGGUACAGCAUGUAUGUAUGCUGGAAUCAGCUAUGUCCUGGGAGGGAGGGAGCGGCAUGGAGGAGAUUUCAUCACGUUACUCAGAACGGUGCUCAUAUUGAAACUUAUGAAUUGUCUUUCCGGGUUUUACGUUUAAUAUUUUUGAACUGUGGUUGACUGUGGAUUAUUGAAACUGAAGAAAGUGAAACCUCAGAUAAGAGAGGACUACUGUACAGAUAUUGUCAUAGUGAAAAUAAGUCUUGGUCAGUUCAGAUGAUGAGUGAAUCUGAAAAUAAUCUACUAGAUAUUAUAUUUUAUCCUCUUGCUUGUUUUAUAUUACAGUGCAUGCUGUUUGCUAAAUUAAGUAAAAAUAAUAAUAAAUUAUACCAAUUCUAAGAUUAGAAUUAAAAUUUUGCAUAUAUGCUGCUUGAUACUCUGAAAUGUAUUUUGUGGCAUAAUUAUCCUAUAUUCAUAUACAUUUCACUUGACAUUUUUCCCCCACCUGAUUAUACUGCUUAAUUGAAACUAAAACAUUGUAAAGCCAGAUUACCUCAUUUUAACUGUGAAAACGUUCAAUAGACAUGACAUGAUGUCUUUUCUUGUAUUUGAUUUGAACUACCUACAUAAGCUUAAACCUAAUAAUAAAUAUAAAACUUCAGCAGGCA